rnacentral:rRNA from 1 species
AUUGAACGCUGGCGGCAUGCCUUACACAUGCAAGUCGAACGGCAGCACGGGCUUCGGUCUGGUGGCGAGUGGCGAACGGGUGAGUAAUGUAUCGGAACGUACCUUUCAGUGGGGGAUAACGUAGCGAAAGUUACGCUAAUACCGCAUAUUCUGUGAGCAGGAAAGCAGGGGAUCGCAAGACCUUGCGCUGAUUGAGCGGCCGAUAUCAGAUUAGCUAGUUGGUGAGGUAAAGGCUCACCAAGGCGACGAUCUGUAGCGGGUCUGAGAGGAUGAUCCGCCACACUGGAACUGAGACACGGUCCAGACUCCUACGGGAGGCAGCAGUGGGGAAUUUUGGACAAUGGGGGCAACCCUGAUCCAGCCAUGCCGCGUGAGUGAAGAAGGCCUUCGGGUUGUAAAGCUCUUUCGGCCGGGAAGAAAUCGUAUGGGUUAAUACCCUGUGCGGAUGACGGUACCGGCAUAAGAAGCACCGGCUAACUACGUGCCAGCCGCCGCAGUAAUAC